rnacentral:tRNA from 1 species
GAGGGUAUAGCUCAGUGGUAGAGUGUGUGCUUAGCAUGCACGAGGUCCUGGCUUCAAACCCCAGUACUGCCA